GCAUGAGGUACAAUAAGCUCUCUUUUCAGGUUUACGGUGGCCAGUAUGUUGGCUUGCCAGUCUUGAUCACUGUUGAUUCUACUGUUCCCAAAGCCUCCUGCCAAGCUCUUGACCCAAGUCACGCUCCCUGGUGAUGUCAUAAUGCUGCUAAGAAUUUGCUCAUUCACAGUACCUGUAGGGAUGCCCCCAGAGUCACAUACCUUCCCUCUUAGUCACACACUGCUUGGAGAAUAACACCUUAAAAAAGCAAGGCCUCUCCUUCCUGGAUUUUAAAGGCUUUGGGAACUUCUAGAAGGAAGACAGAGAAGAAAGGAGGAACAGGUAUAUAAAGUUAGAGAGGUCCUGGCUUGCUUGCACUUGGGAAAACACAUCUUUGCAAAAGGGCCUGAUCAGCUCUGGGCUCAUUAGCCAAGUAAGAACCAGCCAGCUGAAAUACUUCUCAUGGAACUACAUAAACAUAGGGAGAGCUUUUCUGAGAAGCUGUUCCACUGAGAGGUAGCUGAUUUGGCUCUUUUAUCCAUUCAAGAGGUGCAAUCAUAUAUAAGAUAGUGAUAGCCAGAAAGGUGGACCACAGCUCCCAGCUGUCAGGCAAUUCUUCCAAGUUGAGAGUCCUAUCCUGUAUGGUCAGGAUAUCGGCCAUGAUAAAUGUCUUACACCUGGUAUAUUUCUCUAGAUAUUUUCAACAUGGAAUUUAAGGUAGGAGUUAUGUGGUUGAUGAACACAAUAUAGAGAUGAAACAACAAAUACAGAAAUGAUCAGCAACGGCGAGAAAAGUCCACUUCAACUAUUUUUAGUACAGACAGUUUUACUGGAGCCCAGCAGUCGAACAGCCAGGGCUUCCUGGCAGAAGUUUACACCAGGAGAGAAGCAGGGCUCUUCUUUGGAGGAGCUGGAACCAUGAUGGGAGAAGCUUACCAGCAGAAGCUGGAGUCACAGAGGAAAUGCGGCUUCCACAAGAGACGCUGUCCGUGGCAAAAGGGGAGAUAUGUAUACUAUGAGCUCUCUUUACCUCCCUGCCUCCAAGCUCCCAUUGGCCUCAUUUAAGCCAAUUUUGCAAGGAAUCUGAGCAAUGUAGUUCCGUGUUAUGCCAACCAGAGUCAGCUAAGAGUGAGGAAUCAAUCUGAGAGAUUUUUUUUUCCAUUAUUACUAGCCCACUUAACGUUACACAUAACUUUCCUCAAGUUUCUAUCUCAUCCCACAACCUAGGGGUCACCUUCAGGUAGCUAAUGUCCUGUCCCCUGCUCAUCUUAGGUAGUUUACAAAGGUGAAAUUACCACACCCCCAUGAUGGAUGGAUGGAUGGAUGGAUGGUAGAUGGAUAAAUAGAGAGAGAGAGAUAGAAACUUAAUAAAUAACCUCUUUCUUAUCAAGUAAUCUUUAUACUCCCAACAAAUUGCAGUCACAAACAGCAUUUCCAUACUAUUCUGAAUUAAAAAUAGAACAAAUGCAUAAUGUUGGAGAUACUAAGUCCUUUAUGAGGGAAGAGUGAGUGACUAGUUGCCUCUGGUGAGUGACUACUUGCCUCUAAAGCUUCCCUCUAAAUUAGUGCUGCCAUUCACACACAAUGACAUGGAAUAAUUCUUAGCACACAGGAGAACUAUCUCUUGAAUCUAUCCAAUUGGAUUUUCUUUGAUUUACUGUCAAAGAUAUUUACUGUCAAAGAUAUUUACAAGUCGAUGGUGGUAAUAAUUGUUGACUGUUUAAUAUAACUUUUAUGCAUCGUAGAAUCAAAUUGAAUGAUUCUUAUCAUAGAAUAUUCUCUCCUGCAGUAUUUUCUCCUAUUAGCUACUAUCUUUAAAAGUCAAGGUAUUUAACAUGGAGAGUGGCUCCAAAGCAAGGGAUGGACAUAAGGGUCAGUGACAAUGUGGAGAUAUAAUAUGUGUAAGCCUUUACAAGAUGUAGGAGGGGUAGAGCAUGUUUUAAAUAGAUCUUAGACCUACUACCUACCUGGAACUGACAUGACCACAUCUGCCAAGCAAAUCCUCUACUGAAAACUGCAGAGGUGAUAACUCAGAAAGACCUGAGAUGUGCUGCUGUGGUGACAGAGCUCACACAGAAAUUAGAAAUAGAAAAAAUGAGAACCAAAACAUGAAAUAACUUAGGUUAAAAAAAAGGUCUGUUCACCUGUCAACAAGAAUCAUGAGAAAUGAUGACAAAACUGUAAUGUGGUAUAUCUUGACAGGAUCCUGAAAGACACAAAGGACAUUAAUAAAAAAAAUUUCAGGUAUUAGAAUCAUGUAAACUACAGUUAGCAAUAGUGCAUCAGUAUUUGUUUAGGAAUUGCAGCUGAUAUGCCAUAUGAUGUCCUAUGUUGUUUAUUGGUAGAACUGAGUACUGGAUAUAUGACAACUAUGUACAAUCUUGGCAGGCUUAUGUAAAGCAAAAACCAUUCUUUUUUUUUUUAAGAUAGCCUUUAAAAAUAUAUAUUUAUUUAUUUAUUUGAAAGUCAGACUUACACAGAGAGAGGAAGAGACAGAGACAGAGAGACAGUGAAAGAGAUCUUCCAUCUACUGGUUCACUUCCCAAAUGACUGCAAUGGCAGGGGCAGGGCCAGGUCAAAGCUAAAAGCCAGGAGCUUCUUCCAGAUCUCCCAUGUGGUUACUGGGACUCAAGCACUUGGGCCAUCUUCUGCUUCUUUCCCAGGCACAUUAGCAGGGAGCUGGAUCAGAAGUGGAGCAACCAGACCUCAAACCAGUGCCCAUAUGGGAUGCUGGUGUCACACGCAGUGGCUUCACCCACUACCCCCACAGUGCCCACUCCCACUAAAACCAUUCUUUAAAAAUAAGUGGUUUUUGCGGGCCUUUUUUUUUUUUGUAUGUUUGAGAGGCAAAGAACACAUAGGAGAAAGGUAAACAGAGAGACAAAGAACUUAUAUUCACUAGUAAAAAAUGACUGGGUAUGGCCAGAGCCAGGAGGCAGGAACUCAAUCCAGGUUACCCACAUGAAUGGUAGGGACCCAGUUACUUGAAUCAUCACAUCUGCCUCCACAGUCAGCAUUGGUGAAAAGCUGGAGGAAAGUCAGGUGUGUGAGUAUCACUAGAUUUAACCACUGCUCCAACUCAAGUUUCUUUUUAAUGGCCAAUAUAGAGGUAAAUGCAGCCUUCUUGAUUUCUCCCGGCAGGAGUUUUAACGUGUGUCACGGAAGCCUUUGGCAAUCUGGUGAAGUAUAACUAUAAAAGAUAAAAGUUGCAAAGAAAAUUAAUUCUAUUAAAAUAUAGUUUAUUGCAAUCACACAGGUACUGCAUUGAAAUGCAGCUAUUAAAAAUGAAAAAUCUAAUUUGCAAUAUAGUAAUACUUGUGUUGUCAUUAAUGCAGCAAAUAAAAGAACUAAUAAAAAGGGGACUGGGAGAGCGAGAAGAUGGCGGAAUAGGAAGGGAGCACACUGAUAGUCCGGGAAGAGAGAGUUUAAUAAAAGUGGAGAUACUGAAGGUUCAAGGAAAAGUAGAGGAAGAAACAGCAGAAGAAACUCUUCCAGAACUAGUGAUUCACAGUGGAACUGCAUGGAGAGUGUGGGAUCCCACAGUUUGGGACACCAGCGGCAGAAUCAACACACCAGCGAGAAGCGCAAGGUGAGCCGAACCUCAAUAGCCCGAGACACCGGUGGGCAAGCAGAAAGAGGAGACUAGAGGGAACGAGGCUUGAAACCCCGUGGGGAAAAGUUCACCAGAUUAACUACAAGAGAGAGGAGAAAAAAAAAUGUGACCAAUACGGACACGAGUUUCUCUCUCUCCGCUCACCUCUCAAAGGCAAGCAAGAUAAAAGCAGGCGCCAUUUUGGACAUACGUCAUAAGCAGGUCUGCACCGGCCCUCAGCCUAGCAGAAAAACCUGACUGGGGUGGGGGUGAAAUAACAGGAGAUUAGGACCUAGUGAAUGUGUGCUGCUAAUGAAUGGAGACUGUGAAAAAAAAGACGGUGGGGGAGAGAACUCACGGAAUUCACAUGAGUACUCUACAGAGACGCUGCAAUUCGGUAACCCUGGCAACCCAGUGGGAGACUGCAGGAGAAUUUGAGCCCACACUGAGGGCAGGACAGAUUCCCUGUGUGGCCCUUGGGAAAGAGCUUCUGAUCUCUGGAUCAUGUGGGUAUAUCAUUCACCUGCUAACUACCUCCAAUUCUGCUGAGCUGUGCAGAAUUACUUCCCUUUUGAAUCAAAAAAAAGAAAGAAAGAGAGAGAGAUUUACCACACCUAACCUGGGAGUGUCACCUUUGGCACACCCUUAACCCUGAGGAACCAAACAGAGCUCUCAGGCCACACCCAUCUCAAGCCUCUAAGGCUCCAUCAAAAGCAGACAGUCCACUUAAUACAGUCAUAGUAUAACAAGAAAAAACACCACAGUGAGGGAAGAAGAAACAAAGAUAUCUCCACAAUGCCAAGCAACAAACGCAAAAACCGAGGAAAAAAGAAAAAGGAAGACAUUAUGACAACCCCAAAUGAACAAGACACCCCAAGGCAAGAUUAUGAAAAUGAUGAGAUGGAAGAAAUGCAAGAUACUGAUUUCAAAAAAUUUAUGAUAAGAACAAUUAGAAGUUUUCAAAAACAAAUGCUUGAGCUAUAGAAUUCCUUACUGGACAGGAUAGAAAAUCUCCUUUGAGAAAAUGAAAUCUUAAGGAGGAAUCAAAAUGAAAUGCAGAAACUAGUAGAACAGGAAAGUGCGACAGUGAAGAGAAAUCAAAAUGAAAUGAAGAGCUCAAUAGAUCAAAUGACAAACACAUUAGAGAGCAUUAAAAACAGAGUCAGUGAAACAGAAGAGAGAAUAUCGGACUUAGAAGACAGAGCACAGGAAAGUAUACAGUCAAACCAAAGAAAAGAAGCGGAAAUUAGAAAUCAAAAAAAUAUUGUUGGGAACAUACAGGAUACUAUUAAAAAACCCAGCAUUCAGUUCUAGGAGUUCCUGAAGGCAUGGAGAGAGAGAGAAAGGAUUAGAAGGCCUUUUUAGUGAGAUACUAGCAGAAAACUUCCCGGGUUUACAGAAGGACAGAGAUAUCCUAGUACAGGAAGCUCAUAGAACCCCUAGUAAACAUGACCAAAAGAGAUCCUCACUACGACACGUUAUAAUUAAACUCACCACAGUGAAACAUAAAGAAAAGAUUCUAAAAUGUGCAAGAGAGAAAUGUCAGAUUACUCUCAGAGGAUCUCCAAUUAGACUCACAGCAGACUUCUCAUCAGAAACCCUACAGGCUAGAAGGGAAUGGCAAGACAUAGGUACUAAAAGAGAAAAACUGCCAGCCCAGAAUAUUAUAUCCUGCUAAGCUCUCAUUUGUGAAUGAAGCUGAAAUAAAGACCUUUCAUAGCAAACAGAAAUUUAAAGAAUUUGUCACCACUCGUCCAGCCCUGCAAAAGAUGCUUAAAGAUGUGUUACACACAGAAACACAAAAACACGGUCAUCGAUAUGAAAGAAGGUAAAGGAAGGAAACCUCACAGCAAAAGAUCACAGAAGUUCAAAGCAUAUAUUAGAAAAUAUCUUUGGCAAAUGGCAGGGCAAAGUUACUACUUAUCAAUAGUCACAUUGAAUGUUAAUGGCCUCAACUCUCCAGUUAAAAGACACAGAUUGGUUGAUCGGGUUAAGGAACAAAACCCAUCUAUUUGCUGUUACAAGAAACACAUCUUUCCAACAAAGAUCCAUACAGACUGAAAGUGAAAGGCUGGAAAAAGCUAUACCAUGCCAUCAGAAAUGAAAAAAGAGCGGGCAUAGCCAUCUUAAUACCGGAAAACAUAAACUUUAACACAAGAACUGUUAAGAGAGACAAAGAGGGGCACUAUAUAAUGAUUAAGGGAUCAAUACAACAAGAAGAUAUAACAAUUAUCAAUGUAUAUGCACCUAAUUACAGGGCACCGGUUUAUUAAAAGAUUUGUUAAGGGACUUAAAGGGAGACUUCAAUACUGCACUCUCAGAAAUAGACAGAUCAACAGGACAGAAGAUCAACAAGGAGACAGUAGAUCUAAAUGACACUAUAGCCCAAAAGGAUCUAACAGAUAUCUACAGAACUUUUCAUCCUACACAUAAAGCAUUUACAUUCUUCUCAGCAGUACAUGGAACCUUCUCUAGGACUGACCACAUACUAGGCCAUAAAGCAAGUCUCAGCAAAUUCAAAAGAAUUAGAAUCAUACCAUGCAGCUUCUCAGACCACAAAGGAAUGAAGUUGGAAAUUAGCAACUCAGGAAUCCCUAGAGCAUACACAAACACAUGGAGAUUGAACAACAUGCUCCUGAAUGAACAAUGGGUCAUAGAAGAAAUUAAAAGAGAAAUCAAAAAUUUUCUGGAAGUAAAUGAGGAUAACAGCACAACAUACCAAAACUUAUGGGAUGCAGCAAAAGCAGUGUUAAGAGGAAAGUUUAUAUCAAUAGGUGCCUACAUCAAGAAAUUGGAAAGGCACCAAAUAAAUGAGCUUUCAAUUCACCUCAAGGAUCUAGAAAACCUAGAGCAAACCAGACCCAAAUCUAGUAGGAGAAGAGAAAUAAUUAAAAUCAGAGAAGAAAUCAACAGGAUUGAAUCCAAAAAAACAUUACAAAAAAUCAGCCAAGUGAGAAGCUGGAUUUUUGAAAAAAUAAACAAAAUUGACACCCCAUUGGCCCAACUAACUAAAAAAAGAAGAGAAAAGACCCAAAUCAAUAAAAUCAGAGAUGAAAAAGGAAACGUAACAACAGACACCACAGAAAUAAAAAGAAUCAUCAGAAAUUACUACAAGGACUUGUAUGCCAGCAAACAGGGAAACCUAUCAGAAAUGGAUAGAUUCCUGGACACAUGCAACCUACCUAUAUUGGACCAGGAAGACAUAGAAGACCUAAACAGACCCAUAACGGAGACAGAAAUUGAAACAGUAAUAAAGGCCCUCCCAACAAAGAAAAGCCCAGGACCAGAUGGAUUCACUGCUGAAUUCUACCAGACAUUUAAAGAAAAACUAACUCCAAUUCUUCUCAAACUAUUCAGAACAUUCCUCAAUACAAUCAAAGCAAUUUAUGAAAAACCCACGGCCAACAUCCUAUUGAACGGGGAAAAGUUGGAAGCAUUUCCACUGAGAUCUGGAACCAGACAGGGAUGCCCACUCUCACCACUGCUAUUCAAUAUAGUUCUGGAAGCUCUAGCCAGAACAAUCAGGCAAGAAAAAGAAAUUAAAGGGUUACAAAUUGGGAAGGAAGAACUCAAACUAUCCCUCUUUGCAGAUUAUAUAAUUCUUUAUUUAGGGGACCCAAAGAACUCUACUAAGAGACAAUUAGAACUCAUAGAGGAGUUUAGCAAAGUAGCAGGAUAUAAAAUCAAUGCACAAAAAUCAACAGCCUUUGUAUACACAGACAAUGCCAUGGCUGAGGAAGAACUUCUAAGAUCAAUCCCAUUCACAAUAGCUACAAAAACAAUCAAAUGCCUUGGAAUAAACUUAACCAAGGACGUUAAAGAUCUCUACGAUGAAAAUUACAAAACCUUAAAGAAAGAAAUAGAAGAGGAUAGCAAGAAAUGGAAAAAUCUUCCAUGCUCAUGGAUUGGAAUAAUCAAUAUCAUCAAAAUGUCGAUUCUCCCAAAAGCAAUUUACAGAUUCAAUGAAAUACCAAUCAAGAUACCGAAGACCUUCUUCUCAGAUCUGGAAAAAAUGAUGCUAAAAUUCAUAUGGAGACACAGGAGAUCUUGAAUAGCUAAAGCAAUCUUGUACAACAAAAACAACGCCGGAGGCAUCACAAUACCAGAUUUCAGUGCAUAUUACAGGGCAGUUGUUAUCAAAACAGCAUGGUACUGGUUCACAAACAGAUGGAUAGACCAAUGGAACAGAAUUGAAACACCAGAAAUCACUCCAAACAUCUACAGCCAACUUAUAUUUGAUCAAGGAUCUAAAACCAAUUCCUGGAGUAAAGACAAUCUAUUCAAUAAAUGGUGCUGGGAAAACUGGAUUUCCACGUGCAGAAGCAUGAAGCAAGACCCUUACCUUUCACCUCACACAAAAAUUCACUCAACAUGGAUUAAAGACUUAAAUCUAUGACCUGACACCAUCAAAUUAUUAGAGAGCAUUGGGGAAACCCUGCAAGAUAUAGGUACCAGCAAAGACUUCCUAGAAAAGACACCGGAGGCACAGGCAGUCAAAGCCAAAACUAACUAUUGGGAUUGCAUCAAAUUGAGAAGUUUCUGUACUGCAAAAGAAACAGUCAGGAAAGACAAGAGGCAACUGACAGAAUGGGAAAAAUUAUUUGCAAACUAUGCAACAGAUAAAGGGUUGAUAACCAGAAUCUACAAAGAAAUCAAGAAACUCCACAACAUCAAAACAAACAACCCAAUUAAGAGAUGGGCCAAGGACCUCAAUAGACAUUUUUCAAAAGAGGAAAUCCAAAUGGCCAACAGACACAUGAAAAAAUGUUCAAGAUCACUAGCAAUCAGGGAAAUGCAAAUCAAAACCACAAUGAGGUUUCACCUCACCCCGGUCAGAAUGGCUCACAUUCAGAAAUCUACCAACAAUAGAUGCUGGAGAGGAUGUGGGGAAAAAGGGACACUAACCCACUGUUGGUGGGGAAGCAAACUGGUUAAGCCACUAUGGAAGUCAGUCUGGAGAUUCCUCAGAAACCUGACUAUAACCCUACCAUUCAACCCAGCCAUCCCACUCCUUGGAAUUUACCCAAAGGAAAUUAAACUGCAAACAAAAAAGCUGUCUGCACAUUAAUGUUUAUUGCAGCUUAAUUCACAAUAGCUAAGACCUGGAACCAACCCAAAUGCCCAUCAACAGUAGACUGGAUAAAGAAAUUAUGGGACAUGUACUCUAUAGAAUACUAUACAGCAGUCAAAAACAAUGAAAUCCGGUCAUUUGCAACAAGAUGGAGGAAUCUGGAAAACAUCAUGCUGAGUGAAUUAAGCCAGUCCCAAAAGAACAAAUAUCAUAUGUUCUCCCUGAUCGGCGACAACUAACUGAGCACCAAAGGGGAAACCUGUUGAAGUGAAAUGGACACUAUGAGAAACAGUGACUUGAUCAGCUCUUGUCCUGACUGUUGAUGUACAAUGUAAUACUUUAAGCAUUUUAGUAUUUUUUUUUGUUUUGUUCUAGUACUAUUGGUUGAACUCUGUAAUCAACACACAAAUAUUCUUAGGUGUUUAAAUAUUAACUGAAAAGUGAUCCCUGUUAAAUAUAAAAGAGGGAAUAAGAGAGGGAGGAGAUGUACAAUUUGGGACAUGCUCAAUCAGACUUGCCCCAAAUGGUGGAGUUAGAAACGUGCCAGGGGAUUCCAAUUCAAUCCCAUCAAGGUGGCAUGUACCAAUGCCAUCUCACUAGUCCAAGUGAUCAAUUUCAGUUCACAAUUGAUCACACUGAUAGGUCUAAGAGUCAAAGGGAUCACACAAACAAGACUAGUGUCUGCUAAUUCUAACUGAUAAAAUCAAAAAGGGAGAGAAUGAUCCAUCAUGGGAAGCCAGAUACAUAGCAGACUCAUAGAAUGGCAGAUGUCCUAAAUAGCACUCUGGCCUCAGAAUCAGCCCUUAAGGCAUUUGGAUAUGGCUGAAGUGCCCAUGAGAGUAUUUUAGGUAUGGAAAGCCAAGACACUCUGGGGAAAUAAAAAAAGAAGAAGAAGACCUAAAUGGAAGAUCUCUGUGAGUGAGAUCCCAAUGGAAAGAAUGGGACCAUCAAAGAAGGAGGUACCUUUCUCUGAAGGGAGGAGAGAACUUCCACUUUGACUAUGACCCUGUUGGAAUAAGAUCGAAGUUGGCGAACCCAAAAGGCUUCCAUAGCCUUGGCAACUCAUGAGUAGAGCCUAGGGAGAUUACUGACUCCAUAAACAAGAGUGUCAAAUUGUUAAGUCAACAACAGGAGUCACUGGGUACUUACUUCUCAUGUGGGAUCUGUCCUUAAUGUGUUGUCCAAUGUGAAGUAAUGCUAUAACUAUUUACCUUGUUGCCUGCAUUCAUGAUCUAACGGAAAGUUAAAUUUCAGUUAGAAGUUGCAGGAAAAAAAGUUGUAAGCUUUUCCCAUUCAAGUUCAUAGGUAAUUCACUCUUCCACCAAUUCCUACAACUACCCAUAGUCCUGUUAAGAAUCCCUGGGCUCAAGGAACUGCUUGCACUCACAUCCUCUCUCCCAUCUAAGUACUAACCUGACCCAACCCUUCUUAGUUUCUGAGGUCAGAUGAGACUGGGUGCGUUCAGGGUGGUAUGGCCAUAGAUGCACUAAGGUUCUAGGGAAGUGACGCCAGUCUUGGCCUGUGUGUCUGUGUGGGCAUCAAAAGAGGUAUUUGGGAAAGUGUUGCCCUGCAGCAUGUCUCCCUUUACCCUGCACAGCCUCACCUAGGCUUGUCAUCUCUCCUGCUGUUUGGUCAGCUGUUCUUGGACCCUUAUUGAAUUGGAGAUUAAUGCAAGUAUUCAAAACCUUUCUAUUACUUUUUUGUUGUUAUUUAGCACAACUCUAACAACCCCUAACUCUCUGGGAAAGAAGUUCCACAUGUUUACGUAAGUGCUUUAUCUAAGAAAACUUUCUUUAACUUGUCCCUAACCUCUCUACACUUUUUCUCUGAGAUAAUCAGCCCACAUUUGAAUCAUGAUUCUAAAGAAUUUACUUCUAUAAAUACCACUCAUCUGUGGUAGGUUUAUAGUGUAUCAGUCACGAAUAUACUUAAAUACAUCCCCCUGAGAUGUGGCUUUCUAAACAUCUCUCUGCUACACCAUCUCCUUCCACCAAAUUGCUGGAAAGAGAAAAUCCAGGCUAUCUAAGCUAUACCAUCCAAAAAUGCAUAGUCUCCAGCCCAGAAAUAGCCAAUGACAAGCAGCAUGGAAGUGCCAAGUAAAAUUUUGUAGGUAAACACUCAGGGAUAUUCCCCUAAUGGCUUUUUGUGUCUUUACACAAACUUACCUGUUGAUAGUAUCUGUCAGUGCCUCCCUCCCAGUAGAGCAGUGUUGGCCCCACAAGUCAGAAUUUCUAUUUACUGAGAACGGAGCCUGGCAACUCUUCAACCACAAGUAAUCUAAAAACAUUUACCUGCCUAAACCAAUCUUCCUCUUGACACACCAACUGGGUGUUGCCAAGCUUGGAAACAGCUCAAACAAUGUGUUUUGUUUCUGGGAAAAAAAAUGAUUGAAGUCUGACAAGAUGUCCUCAAGCCAUCCUUUAUUUUUAUUAUGAAUAACUUUGUAUAAGAAAUUGAAUUUCAUGAAACCUGAAAUAGACUAAGUGAAUUCAUUGGAACUGGUUGACUGUUUGAUUUUGACCAGAUACUUCCAGCUCAUUACUAAUUCUUGAUAAUGCUGUCACAUUAAAAUAGAGAUUUGUGAAUUUGUAUGAACAGAUGCUGUUGGAUUUUCCCUUUCUUCUCAAGCAGAAAGAUGCCUGGGCUUGCCGAGUAUCAGUGUAGUUAGAAAAACUUGCUAUUUAGCUGCCUUCAUUCUGAAACAUAAAAAUAUUCUUGAGUGAUUUGUUUUACUAUUUACAGUACUGGGGCAUAGUAAAGAAUGCUACAUUAGUAAAAAUCAAGCUCUCAUGAACUCUCCCUGGCAAAUUUGACCCAAGUGGCAAAGCAUUCCUUUGCAUUGCCUUCUCCCUCAUUUCAGAGCUUUUAGUUAUAUAUGCAAGCCCAGUGGGGAAAUUAGGUCAGUCUGGAUCAUUUCAGUCCCCACCCCAAAAAGAAUCAACCUUUCUCUUCUCCUCAGAGUAAUUUGGAAGGACUAGACUUGUCUGCUGUCACAAGAUGAUCUGUAUCCCUACUGACUGACUAUUCUGUGGAGCCAGGGUACAGACUGCAAUGAACAGAGACUGGUGUGUGGAAGAGAGGCAAAUAGUAGUGCAGGAACCAUGGGUCUGGGUCACAUUUCCUGCAGGACAGACUAGGGACAGCCCCUUCAAUGCCCAACAGCUCUUGGUGCUCUGCAACCUCUGGCCAACAUCAGGUUGCAAUAAAUGUAAAUGCUUGAUACUGAUUGUUUUCUUCUUUCUGAAAAGAAACGAAAUUAUUAUCAAUAAGCUUUUUUUCAUUUCAGCUGUGUUUCAUGGCUUACAAUUAUCUUGGAGCUAGGAGUCUUCAUCUUUUUGCCCUAACCCAUAAAAUUGUGUCCAGACCUCUGUGAGGGUGCCUACUUUUAAAUGUGCCAAUUGAGGAACAUUAAAAGUACUGCCCAUCUGUACUCUCACUUUUAUUUGAUCAAAAAUAAAAGCAUAUCUUAAUGUCAAAAAAGACAGGAUAUCAUCUAAGAAGAAAGAAUAGUUGUCUCAGUAAGUUUAGUUUUAUGAAAAACUCAUUAUGAUUCCUUUUAUGGUUUGAUUUGGUUUUUAGUUUGUUUUUUAAUUUCACCACUGUCUAGUCUAACUUUCAGAAAUUAUUGCUUUAGAGUAUAAUUUGUCUAGAGCAAAAUAUCAGGAAAUAGUGUGCAAGCCUGUGGCAGCUAUAAAAACGUGCCUUCACGUCUCCUGAUGCAGGAAUGUGACUGACAGAAGGCCCAGCUGCACCUUCUUUGGAUUCACACCAAAGCCUCACUUCCUGUUGGCUGCCCCCAAUUCCUGACUGCAUGCAGCAAGAGCAAUGAGGCAGGCCCAUUCUGGCAAGGGGCAGUUCUCCUCUGAUGAGCCAUUGUGACUGAAGGACUCCCCAGGGCUGCCCAGAAUUUUCUUAGAGCUGAACCUCACUCAGACUCUUCCUAUCCAUCCCUCCCUCCUUCCUCCGCUCCUUCUCAGGGUCAGAUCUGCAUCACAGCCCCAGGGUUCUCUGUUCUUCCUCCAGCUUCCUCCUCUCUUUCCCCGGUGGGCAUUCCCCCACUACCUUUUCCAGGUUGGAUCCUGCCUAGGUGGCUGUCUCUCAAAGGACCUGAUCUAACACAAUGUCCUUUUCCAUCCAUUCCUUUAUUCACUUAUGCCUCACACACCACCACCAGGGAACAAGAGACUUUGCCAUGUUUCAUCCAUGCCAAAGCUAGGACAAGAAGCCAGAAAUUCCAGUUCCUAGACUAAACUUUCCAUUGUGGCCCAAGAUUUCUCCUGAAGGAACCACUCCUCAGUGCAAAGCAUCCUGUGUGAACAGAAAUAUCUAGGUUAUAAGUUCUCCAAUGAGUUUUCCAAGGACAACUUCCCAGUGAUUGUUCCAUCUCCUGACUUGUGGUUUUCCAGUGUUUUUAAACCAUCAGCUCCUGUAUUCAAGGCACAUCCUUGCUAGUGAUUGAUGGAUAACAGCAGAGGAAGAACUGAGGCACAGCUGGACUGGUGGUCAAGUGGGCAUGGAGACUGAUGCCAGCUGCUAGACCUUCUCUGUCCUUAGCCCUGCUCUCUGCCACAGCAGUGCCCUUCCAAGAAUCCCAGAGGGUCUACUAAGAUUGACAGCCUGAUUCCUGUCUGGACUGUUUAUUCAAAAGGAAUAUUUCACAGAGAGGCCUCCUCAGUUAAGUCACAUGAGGAGAAAGAGAGCAAAGUCAUGUAGUUCUGGCUCCCAGGGCCACCUCCAAGGGAGGCACUUUGCUUCUAGCUGUUGGUCUCUGAUUCUGCAUACUAUUUUCUCAGAGUGUUCUUAAGCUCGGGGUGUGUGUGUGUGUGUGUGUGAGAGAGAGAGAGAGAGAGAAAGAGAGAGGAGGAGAAGAAGAAGGAGGAGGAGGAGGAGAAGAGAGGAGGAGGAGAAAGAGGAGAUAAGAGAGGAGAGGAGAAGAUAUUCCCUGCUUUAUGACAGUUACAGAAAGAAUCUCAUAGAAAAUGUAGUUUUUUUCCUUUGCAGCCACAUCUGUGGGUAUCUGGAAUGAAGAGACUGGAGAAUGAACACAGCCAUUUUUUGUAUCCCAGUGUGGUCCUACUGAACUGACAGGGACUUCUCCAGGCCACGUCUUUUAUGUCACAUAUGAACACACUCAGAUAUAAGAAAGAGAUAGUCAGCAUUUCCUUUGUGCCAGGUUUUGACCAGUUACUGAGAAGGUCCCAUUCUUUUGAGAAAAGGAAGUGUGUGAAUAAGUACUGUUAGCACAGAUAAACAGCUAGGUCUGAAAAGAGCACCAGCUGUCCCAGAGAGUCCCAAGGACUUUCCACAUCUUAACAACUCAAAAACAACCAAGCCAGAGAUUGUCCCCCCAAAAAGAAGCCUAAUUGUUAGCCACACCAUCACUGCAGUUACAUUACAAACUACCUGCCUGAAAAAUCACCAUGACAGAUCCAAAAGACCUUAUUAGGAAAGCAAAUAGGUGGCACCCUGUUCCAGCAAAAUCCCACCUGAUUUCUAGAGCUCUCUUCCCUAUCGCAAGAAUAUUCCAAUCCUUUAUUAUAUGAUAAAGUAAGGAAAAACUCCUCAGACCCUUGGAACAGGUGCUCUCUUCCCCAAAUUUGCCAGCUCUCCCUGUUGAGGGUGUCCUUUCACUUAUAAUAACCUCUGCUUGCUUGCUCAAUUCAACCCUAAUGCACCUUAGAAUUCUUUCUUUGGGCUGGCAUUGUGGUAUAGUGGGUAAAGCCGCCACCUGUGAUACUAGCAUCACAUAUGAGUGCCAGUUCAUGUCCUGGCUGUUCUACUUCUGAUCCAGUUCACUACUAGUGUGCCUGAGAAAGCAGCAUAAGAUGGCAUAAGUACUUGGGCCUCUGCACCCAUGUGAAAGAUCCAGAUGGAAUUUUAGGCUCCUAUCUUUGGCCUGACCCCACCCCACCAUUGUAGCCAUUUGGGGGGUGAACCAGUGCAUGGAAUAUCUCUUUCCCUCUCAAAUGAGUAAAUCAGUAUUCUUUCUUCUGUUAGCAUCAAGAACCUGGACACAUUCUCCAGUAUCAGUACUGAACAGUGGGAUCCAGAUGUGAGAGAUGCCUAAAAGAAUGAUCCCAACCUUGGGGUUGGGAGACUUAAAACUUCAGGUGCUGGAUGCUGGGUGUUCACUCUUCGUGUUUUGUGCCAAACUCUGCUCCAAGUGCUCCCUUCACACAAUGCUCAGAAGUGGAGACUAUUGUUAUCCCCAUCCUAGAGAUGGGGAAACUGAGGCACAAAGAGGUAAAGUGACAUGCCUGAGGUAACCCAUCAUUAAAUAGCAGAGGCAGGAGUGCACUCUCACGUGGGUGUCCUUUCACCAACUGUGCUUCCUGCUGCUUUGAGAUCACCAAGUCUACCCAGCUAAACACCAACAAGCCAGGAUUGAAUCAGGGUGUUCUGCUUCCCUGACUUGCUUUAAAUUCUAACUCCCAAGACCCUAGAGCGUUUAUUUUUCUUAGUGGUCUGUCAAAGGUUGAUGAUUCUCAAAGUAGCAUGUUUAAAAAAGGUAAGACAUUCACUAGAAUAGCAACUUCAGGGUCCUUGUUUGGAAGUGUUGGAGCUUGGGGAAGGGGAAAAUGACAAAUAAGACUGAACAAAAAUGUACUGUGAGCAUAAGCCUGGUGUGUUUGGGUGAAUAGUGAGUUUCUACCACAUGCAAGGUAUAAUAAUAAUCAGGUGUUCAAAAUAUUCAGCCAGACUCUACUGGCUACUCUAAGAUAGAAAUGCAGGGACAGAUAAAAGACUGUGUUCAGGUUUUAUUUUAAUCCCUACUGUGGUCUUUAAAGGCCUUGGUAUUGAAAGCAAAUGAUAUUUCUACCUACUCCUUCCCAAAGCAGGAAUUUGCAUUUUAAUUUUGGAACACCCAAGAAAAAAAAUCCAAUGAAACACUUUAUUUACUUUUUGAGACAUUUUUUCUUCUUUCCAGGAAUAAAGCCUAUUGCUUAUUGAGUUGUAGACUAAAUACCAUGAGUCCCAAGGACAAGUUGCUUACUAGAACUACAGAACAUGUGUUUGUCCUUUACCCAGGAGGAAGGAGCCUAGGUUCCUAGAUCUUGAGUGGAAUAGACUUCCAUCGUAGCAUAGUGGUUGUGUUUGCUUGGAGAUGAACUUCAAAUCAGGAAGUUCAUACAUAAACAACUGGGAACACACUUAAUAAAAGUGGCCUGAAAGCCCUCCUUUGGUAAGGAAAGUGAGUUAAGUGCACUUUGUCAUAUUACUUAACAAUUCUGAAAAUGAGAGCAUAGCCAGCACCAGUCUGUCAUUCUUAAGUUUGUCCAUCCUAGAUGCUGCUCACGUAGGUAAGGUAGCCACACAAUUCAUCAUCCAAAUCAUCCCAUCAUUAUUUAUACUGGAACAAAAGGCCUAAACCAGGCCUGAGCCAGUCAAGCUAGCAUAAAUGAUCACCUACUCAUGGGCAAAAUACUCUUUUUUUUUUUUUAAUUAUUUGACAGGUAGAGUUAUAGACAUUGAGAGAGAGAGACAGAGAGAAAGGUCUUCAUUGGUUCACUCCCCAAAUGGCCGCUACGGCCGGCGCUGUGCCGAUCUGAAGCCAGGAGCCAGGUGCUUCCUCCUGGUCUCCCAUGUGGGUGCAGGGCCCAAGCACUUGGGCCAUCCUCCACUGCACUCCCGGGCCAGAGCAGAGAGCUGGACUGGAAGAGGAGCAACGGGGACUAGAACCUGGCACCCAUAUGGAUGCCAGCGCUCCAGGUGGAGGAUUAACCAAAUGAGCCAUGGCACCAGCCCGGGGAAAAUACUACUCUUUUCAAGUGAAAACAUGGAACUGGCAUGGGGUUUGUAAGCAGAAUCAAGUCAGUGAAGGGUCAGAAAGAGGGAAUUUCUCAGGUGGAAAUGUCUCACGGCUUUGAACACAUGAAGAACUGAAAGGGAUAGUGCAACCGUCUGAACUAGAAGAGGAAGAAAAGAGGAACUGGAGAGACACGGUCAGGUCUUUACAAAGCGAGGACAGACACCAGACCCCCUGACUCAGCUACAUCAAGGUCUCAGGAAGUUUCUGAAGCUCCUCUGGCAUCUGAGGGAAUAAGACCCAAUGGAAGAAGUAUCAGGAAGCAGUUACUUCCCCCUCAAACUCCAGGGCCCCCUCCACUGUCCUGUGAAACGCCCUCUACACUUUCUACCAGCUCUGACAACCGGGACCCUUUUAAUGCACCUUCUUGAAGGACCAAUGUAUAAUAGCCCUAGUGGGUGACAGCACUGAUUAUCUGAGUUCUGCACUCGGAAUGAUCAGGCCUGCUCUCAUUAAUCAGUACAUUCACUAAAGCUGCCUUUACCUGGAAGAACAGUCCCCACUUACCACCUAGCAGAAAACAGAGAUUUCCAGAUAAUAACACAUGGGACACAAAGGCAGGGGAGAGUCUCUAAGGAACCUGAAUGCUGUAAAGAAGGGCAGGUGAAGGUCAAACGUAACUAAGUGGCUGGGAUACCCAGGGUGGGCCACGUGACGGUGCUACAUGUUGGAGACAGGGUGGCUAGAGUGACUCAGAAAGACAAGAAAAGGGAAAAGAAAGUUUCAGAAGAAAAAUUUUUAUAUGGUGUCUACCCUUGCAAAGGGAUCUGCUAAGGCUUCUUCAGAGAUAAUUAGAAACAUGAGCUCACACGUGGAAUGGGCGGGCAUGAGGUGCCCAGAGCUCCCAACUAUGUUUUCUCUGCCUUUGAUUAUGGGCAGCAGCUUAGAAUCAAAGACCAGGAAGUAAUUAUCCCAUUGGGGGCAGGUUCCCAUGUCUCUCACCAGCUCUUUAGAAUUUCCUACAAGUCAAGGUAAGUUGGCAUGAAGAGGGACAUGAAUUAAUUCCAAAUAUAGAAUUAUUUUUUCCAUAUCACUCCCUGGUAGCACAUUCUGUUGUACGAAGAAAGUCCAAGAAAAAUGAAAUGGGCGACUCUUGGAAGUCUAAGAGAAAAAAAGUAAUGAAAUUUUGGUAUUUUUAGAAUAAAAGUGCAAUGAUUUUUGAAGUGCCAGUUUAUCCGGGGAAGUACCUUUGCUGCCUGAAACCAAUGUUUAGGUGAAGAUAGUUGUUCAGAAUUUCAGUCACUCUGCAUUUUGUCUAUUAUGUAUUUGGGGAUUUAUGGACAAAUAUUUCAUUUUUCAACAAGAUACUAAUUGCCAUGGGAGAUUUAUUUCUACAGUGAGAUUAUCACAUCCCCCAAGUCUUUUACAUUGGAUCUCCCUAAAUACCUCUUAAAACAUUACUUUUUAUUACACAGUAUCUAGUAAGUAGACAUUAAGUAUUAGUUUGUUGCACCUGAUGCCUGAUGUCAACUAAGCUACUCAUCUUUCUUUUUUUUAUUUUUUAUUUUUUGUUGUUGAUGUUGUUGACAGGCAGAGUGGAUAGUGAGAGAGAGAGAGACAGAGAGACAGAGAGACAGAGAGAAAGGUCUUCCUUUUGCCAUUGGUUCACCCUCCAAUGGCCGCUGCAGCAUCGCACUGAUCUGAAGCCAGGAGCCAGGUGCUUCCUCCUGGUCUCCCAUGGGGUGCAGGGCCCAAGCACUUGGACCAUCCUCCACUGCACUCCCGGGCCAGAGCAGAGAGCUGGCUUGGA